CCUAGUGGUUAGAGCAGGUUGCCUAGUGGUUAGAGACAGGUAGCCUAGUGGUUAGAGCAGAUAGCCUAGUGGUUAGAGCAGGUAGCCUAGUGGUUAGAGCAGGUAGCCUAGUGGUUAGAGCAGGUAGCCUAGUGGUUAGAGCAGGUAGCCUAGUGGUUAGAGCAGGUAGCCUAGUGGUUAGAGACAGGUAGCCUAGUGGUUAGAGCAGGUAGCCUAGUGGUUAGAGCAGGUAGCCUAGUGGUUAGAGCAGGUAGCCUAGUGGUUAGAGCAGGUAGCCUAGUGGUUAGAGCAGGUAGCCUAGUGGUUAGAGCAGGUAGCCUAGUGGUUAGAGACAGGUAGCCUAGUGGUUAGAGCAGGUAGCCUAGUGGUUAGAGCAGGUAGCCUAGUGGUUAGAGCAGGUAGCCUAGUGGUUAGAGCAGGUAGCCUAGUGGUUAGAGCAGGUAGCCUAGUGGUUAGAGCAGGUAGCCUAGUGGUUAGAGCAGGUAGCCUAGUGGAUAGAGCAGGUAGCCUAGUGGUUAGAGCAGGUAGCCUAGUGGUUAGAGCAGGUAGCCUAGUGGUUAGAGC